GUCCCCGUAGUUCAACGGAUAGAACGGAGGUUUCCUAAACCUUAAAUGCGGGUUCGAUUCCCGCCGGGGACACCA
rnacentral:tRNA from 1 species